rnacentral:tRNA from 1 species
GGUGGGGUUAACCUGUUCAAAUAUUGAAUUAAAUAAUGCCGGUUGGAAUACUUUUUUACGAAAGAACGAGUGUAACUUAUUGAAAUACAAUUCUAAUUAUCGGAGGUUCGAGUCCUCCUCCCGCUACCA